rnacentral:lncRNA from 1 species
AAAAAGUUGUAGCAGCCAAGAGGUAAAAGAAGAUGAUGGGGAAAGAAAAUUUCUAAGGACAAAAAAAUAAAUGAAAAGGUUUUUAAAGAUAUAAAAUGAAAUGGAAAAUAAUUAAAAAGGGAACAGCUUUUCAAACCAAGGAGAGUGACACAUGGCAGCACGCGAGUGGCCAGUGCUACCACGUCAAUAAAAUUGUUGGCG